GCCGGGCGUGGUGGCGGGCACCUGUAGUUCCAGCUACUCAGGAGGCUGAGGCAAGAGAAUCGCUUGAACCUGGGAGGCAGAGGUUGCAGUGAGCCGAGAUGACUCACUCGUACCAGUGCACUCCAGCCUGGAUGNNNNNNNNNNCAUCCAGGCUGGAGUGCACUGGUACGAGUGAGUCAUCUCGGCUCACUGCAACCUCUGCCUCCCAGGUUCAAGCGAUUCUCUUGCCUCAG
rfam:Chlorocebus sabaeus isolate 1994-021 chromosome 15, whole genome shotgun sequence.